rnacentral:lncRNA from 1 species
GGCCCACAUUGACUGGCUGGGCCUCAAGUCCCAGGACAGAAGGCCAGCCAGAAGGGGGCGCUUGGCUGUUGGACAGAGCCUCACAAAGGGCUCCGGCAGAAGACGGGUUGUCUCUCAGAGGAUCACAUUGUCCUUCCUGACUCUUCACAAAGCAGCGAGAGAAGAAUACAGCAAGGACCCCAGUAACUCUACCAAGGUGGAAGC